rnacentral:rRNA from 1 species
AGUGAACGCUGGCGGUAGGCCUAACACAUGCAAGUCGAACGGCAGCACAGUAAGAGCUUGCUCUUACGGGUGGCGAGUGGCGGACGGGUGAGGAAUACAUCGGAAUCUACUUUUUCGUGGGGGAUAACGUAGGGAAACUUACGCUAAUACCGCAUACGACCUACGGGUGAAAGCAGGGGAUCUUCGGACCUUGCGCGAUUGAAUGAGCCGAUGUCGGAUUAGCUAGUUGGCGGGGUAAAGGCCCACCAAGGCGACGAUCCGUAGCUGGUCUGAGAGGAUGAUCAGCCAAAAUGGAAAUGAGAAAAGGUCCAGACUCCUACGGGAGGCAGCAGUGGGGAAAAUUGGACAAUGGGCGCAAGCCUGAUCCAGCCAUACCGCGUGGGUGAAGAAGGCCUUCGGGUUGUAAAGCCCUUUUGUUGGGAAAGAAAAGCAGCAGGUUAAUACCCCGCUGUUCUGACGGUACCCAAAGAAUAAGCACCGGCUAACUUCGUG